AUUGAACGCUGGCGGCAUGCCUUACACAUGCAAGUCGAACGGUAACAGGUCUUCGGAUGCUGACGAGUGGCGAACGGGUGAGUAAUACAUCGGAACGUGCCCGAUCGUGGGGGAUAACGAAGCGAAAGCUUUGCUAAUACCGCAUACGAUCUACGGAUGAAAGCAGGGGACCGCAAGGCCUUGCGCGAACGGAGCGGCCGAUGGCAGAUUAGGUAGUUGGUGGGAUAAAGGCUUACCAAGCCGACGAUCUGUAGCUGGUCUGAGAGGACGACCAGCAACACUGGGACUGAGACACGGCCCAGACUCCUACGGGAGGCAGCAGUGGGGAAUUUUGGACAAUGGGCGAAAGCCUGAUCCAGCCAUGCCGCGUGCAGGAUGAAGGCCUUCGGGUUGUAAACUGCUUUUGUACGGAACGAAAAGACUCUGGUUAAUACCUGGGGUCCAUGACGGUACCGUAAGAAUAAGCACCGGCUAACUACGUGCCAGCCGCCGCCGUAAAAC
rnacentral:rRNA from 1 species